CAAAGGCUUGGUCCUGGCUUUACUAACAGCUCUAACUAGACUUACACAUGCAAGUAUCCGCACCCCCGUGAGAAUGCCCUACAGUUCCCUAUUUGGGGACAAGGAGCUGGUAUCAGGCACACAUACCCUUAGCCCACGACACCUUGCUUAGCCACACCCUCAAGGGAACCUCAGCAGUGAUAAACAUUAAGCCAUAAGUGAAAACUUGACUCAGUUAAAGUUAAGAGGGCCGGUAAAACUCGUGCCAGCCACCGCGGUUAUACGAGAGGCCCAAGUUGUUAGACAUCGGCGUAAAGCGUGGUUAAGAACCCAAAACUUACUAAAGCCGAACACUCUCUUAGCUGUUAUACGCUUAUGAUAGUAAGAAGACCAAUCACGAAAGUGGCUUUAUAGUAUCUGACCCCACGAAAGCUAGGAAACAAACUGGGAUUAGAUACCCCACUAUGCCUAGCCCUAAACAUUGACAACACACCACAUUUGUUAUCCGCCAGGGUACUACGAGCAUUAGCUUAAAACCCAAAGGACUUGGCGGUGCUUUAGACCCACCUAGAGGAGCCUGUUCUAGAACCGAUAACCCCCGUUCAACCUCACCCUUUCUUGUUUUAUCCGCUUAUAUACCACCGUCGUCAGCUUACCCUGUGAAGGCCCUAUAGUGAGCAAAACUGGCACAACCCAGAACGUCAGGUCGAGGUGUAGCAUAUGAAAAGGGAAGAAAUGGGCUACAUUCACUAGCUUAGUGAAUACGGAUGGAGUAAUGAAAAUUUAUUCACGAAAGGAGGAUUUAGUAGUAAGCAGGAAAUAGAGUGUCCUGCUGAAUCUGGCUCUGAAGCGCGCACACACCGCCCGUCACUCUCCCCAAGCUCCCACACCCCCUAUACCUAAAUAAUCUAAAUCGCUAAGGGGAGGCAAGUCGUAACAUGGUAAGCGUACCGGAAGGUGCGCUUGGCAAAAU
rnacentral:ncRNA from 1 species